CACAACUCUAGGCUCUAGUCAGUUGCGAAAAACGCAAUCUAGAAGGUCGGGUACUCUGGACAGCUGAUGAUGGAUCAGAAACAGAGUGCUGGCAUCCUUCUGUUCACGCAGUACAUCCAACACCAGCUGUAUGGAGCGGUUCAGAUGGGAGGGGAAACUGCCUGACCUGUCAAUCUCAUCAAUCGGGAUACGCCACACCCCCUAACAACAAACCACACUCCAAUGGUAUGUAAACUGUAAGAGUAAUUACUGUGAUUGUACGUCACAUGAGUGCCUAAGGUAGCAGUACAGAUAAGUGGUCAGUCGCCACGAAAGAGAUUUGUAUCUACAUUUGGAUAAUUUCGCUGAACACAGAGGGCUUGCUCGAGCAGCUAUUUGAAUCAGUAACUUCCAGUGAGUCAAGUGGUUCUUGUAAGAACUUUUCACACAGUAAGUCUUUGUUUGAUUGUUUCUCAGUGUGCUCAAAAUGUUUAAUUACAGUUCUAAAUAACUGCUGUCUACAGUACAAACUGCAUCAUGCCGUAAAUGUUGUAGAAAUGCUGUGAAGAUAUUCCAUCAGUGAAGUCUUGACUGUUGUCAUGGUAACAGGUUCAGUGAGGUCACAUCAGUGCGUGAGUUAAGGAAUAGUAGCUGAAGUGUAGUGCUGGAUUAUUCAAACACAGACAGAAGUGAUACUCUGGAUUUAUACUAUGCUGUUUAAUAGCACACUGAUGUAUUUCUAACAUGCCAAAGUAUUUGUAUUAGUGUAUGAGAACAAUGAUUAUGUUACCUACAAUAAAUAUGCUGUUG